CUGCUGUCUGGGUCCCCACAAGGGCUGCAGGACACGUGUCCACCCGCUCAGGACAAGAGGAAACAGGGCCCCUCGGAUGGCCUGGUGGAGGCUGAGAGCUGAGAGAUAGAUGCUCCCUGCAUCUUCCUGAGGCCAGGGACAAUGCUGCCUCUGAACUGUCUGCCGCUGAAGACCCUGCUGUCACAUAGGGUGCCUCCCAGAAUGUGAAAUAAAUUGUGAUUAUGCAUUA